CUGAGAACUGCCUGGCCCUGGGGGACCUGCUGGGUGGAAGCCUAGUUUGCAGAGGACAAGCGGAGGCCAUUGGAGUCAAGGUGGUGGUAACCUGUGACACAUGAAGCCAGCUCCUGGUUAUCCACCUGAGCUCCAGCAUGAUUGAGUCACACUGGGGGGGGGGGGGUUGCUUCACCUCCCUGAGCCUCAGUUUCUUCAUCUGUUAACUGUGGGCAUGGGGACAUGAAGGUAGAAACAGACCUCCAGUGACUGCAACUAUCAGCACAGAGCAGGUCUCCAUUGAUAGACCCCACAGGCCAGGGCACCUGGUGCCCAACGUGGGGCCUUUUUGGGUCUGGGGUCUGAGAGAACGUCGCUCUCCAAUGGUCGACCGCAAAGCAUAGGAUCACCGCUUCAGUUAAGGAGUGAGAGAAGGUCCGCACCACAGAAUCGCCCAUCUGUGAGACUGAUCUGCUUAAGGAAAAUGAGUGGACUCAAGAUACCACAAGUGUUCCUGUGGAUGAUCCUUCUAUGUCAGUGGAUGUCUACAAUAGUGCCUAUUAAGAGAGGAGCUACCUCCCAGUUUGCCUGGCGAUUUUUCCUGACAGAAAACUACACCAACUAUGCUAAAACACAAAAUUAUGGUCAUCUUUUAGCCACAGCUGAUUGUCCACCUUCCGGGUGCCAAUCUGCCAUCAUGUUAAAUUUUACAGAUUUUAAGGCACAGCCCGGGAAGAUUGCCCCUGCCCUGUGCUUUCUGUUUGACCAACGUUAUUCCUAUUGCACAGACAGAUGGAUUGAAGAGAACGUGGGCUGCCCCUAUAGAUCAUGUAACAUCCAUAAUGUUAAGACCCUAAAAAGUAAUGAAGUUAUUACACAGCUUCCCAACAAUAGCCAUAAUUUUUUUCGCUCCUCCACAGGCUAUACCUGGGUUGUUUGGGAUCCCUGGGAUUCCCGCUGGACCACGCCAGUCAAAGGAGCUAUGUAUAUGACCAAAGAUGAAACCUGGCCUAGCAGCCGUGUUUAUAUUUGGCGUGCUCUUGUUCAAGUUCAAACAACCCCUUCAUGCUGAAAUUCAAACACAUGAGAAGGAGCUAAAUACACAGCUCUCAGCUUUAGCUACACACCACCCCUUUUCCUGGCUAUCUCUAUUGAGAGAAGGCCUAGUGCUUGCCAAUAUCACUGGCCGUGGCAAUGUUUCUGCAUGUUUUCUUUGUGCCAUGUUAGGACGUCCCCUUUGACGGCAGUUCCAUAUCCCACCUCAUUAAAUACUUCUGAUACAUCUGGUAAGGCCUUUUCUCCCAUUUUUGAAGUUUCUUUGUUCCUAGCUCCUGAACAAGAACAAUUUAGGUUUUGUUAUUCCAAUGCCGGUACUAGGUUGUGCAGUCAGACUGCCUUACCUGUCACAGAUCUUAUUGCCCCUGAUGGGUUUUUCUUUUGGUGUAACGGUACCAUUUUUAAAAAUCUUUCUAACCAAAUAGAUGAGAGAUUGUUAUGCCUUCCAGUUACCUUAGUACCCCAGUUGACCCUGCUUACUCCUGCUGAGUAUUUAGGCUGGGACAGCCCCUCAUCCCCUAGAACAAAAUGGGCUGUUUUUCUUCCUUUAGUGGCUGGCGUUUCUCUUGCAAUAUCCGUUGUGGCUGCUGGUCUGGCUGGAGGAGCCUUGGGUCAUUCCCUUCUUACCACAGCUAAGCUCUCCCAACAGUUCUCAUUGGCGGUAGAAGCCUCGGCCGAAUCUUUAGCCUCCUUACAGAGACAACUAACCUCCCUUGCCCAAGUUGCCUUACAGAAUUGGCGAGCUUUGGAUCUCCUGACCGCGGAAAAGGGUGGCACCUGCUUGUUUUUGAAAGAAGAGUGCUGCUUCUAUGUUAAUGAGUCCGGUUUAGUGGAGACCCAAGUUACACAAGCUUAGUGUUAAAUUACAAAAACAAAAAUUUUCUGCUGCUGCUGAUAGUUGGUAGAAAUCCUCCAUGUUCUCCCUUUUGAUGCCCCUUAUGGGACCCCUGGUUAGUCUCUUGUUAAUGAUUACCUUGGGGCCCUUUAUUUUUAAUAAGAUUACUGGCUUUAUAAAACAACAAAUUGACUCCUUGGCUUCGAAACCCUUACAAAUACAUUAUCACAGACUUGAUUUGGCUGACAGAGGCUUGGCUGAACCUGAAGGUGACAGACCUCCCUCCUUUAGGAGCUGCAUAAAACUUAGAUUUAUGCACGCCAGCCUUGGCGUGGCGUGGGCAGCGGCAAGGGGUGCAAGGCUAAGUACUGCAGGGGGAGGACCCAAUUGUCUGCCUCUGAGUCCCCCAUGAAGCAAACCUGAUUCGCAUAGAGGUUGGUGUCAAUCUUCAGACCACUCACCGUGGGCCUUCCCCACCAAAAAAAAAAUAAUAAUAAUAAUAAAAAUAAAGGCUCUACCUCUCCUCCCCAAAAGACACCAAGAGCCAUAUGAGAUGCAGGAAGAUCAGCUCUAUAUUUACCCCACGGGAGGAAUCAGGUCAAUACAUCUUCCCUCUGGUUAAUGCCCACUCAUCUGUUGAUGAGAUCUCCUAACUCUCACCCUCAUUUUCCCGCCUCAUUUAAAUUGUAAAAAGGGAGGAGAUGCCGGGGGCCAAGGCCUUAGCUAAGUCUCUCAUAUGGUAAGUUAUAGAACAUCCUGAAAGUAGCCGGUAAGAACAUUUAUGGGUAGAGAGGAAAUUCUGACCAUUGGUUCCAAGAACUGAGAUUACCAUAUGACUGGAAAGUCCCUCGCCCUCCUCCUCCCCCCAUGAUCUUAGAUGAACUUCCUCCUUGCUUGUGCUUAUAUUGCUGCUGUGAAAUAAAGUUUUCAGAGCUUGAUCAGA